rnacentral:rRNA from 1 species
UUAUGGACCCCCGGCCCGGACUUAAGCAUAUCAAUUAUGCCGUCGGAAGACAACAGGGAUUGCCUUAGUAACGGCGAGUGAAGCGGCAACAGCUCAAAUUUGAAAGCUGGCCCUUUCAGGGUCCGCGUUGUAAUUUGUAGAGGAUGAUUCGGCGAGGGCUCCCGCCUAAGUCCCCUGGAACGGGGCGUCAUAGAGGGUGAGAAUCCCGUAUGCGGUGGGCUGCCUUAGCCAUGUGAAUCUCCUUCGACGAGUCGAGUUGUUUGGGAAUGCAGCUCUAAAUGGGAGGUAAAUUUCUUCUAAAGCUAAAUACCGGCCAGAGACCGAUAGCGCACAAGUAGAGUGAUCGAAAGAUGAAAAGCACUUUGGAAAGAGAGUUAAAAAGUACGUGAAAUUGUUGAAAGGGAAGCGCUUGCAACCAGACUUGUCCGCAGUUGCUCAGCCGGUCUCCUGACCGGCGUACUCUUCUGCGGCCAGGCCAGCAUCAGUUCGGGCGGUCGGAUAAAGACCUCGGGAAUGUAGCUCCUCUCGGGGAGUGUUAUAGCCCGGGGUGGAAUGCGGCCAGCCUGGACUGAGGAUCUCGCUUCGGCAAGGAUGCUGGCGUAAUGGUUGUAAGCGGCCCGUCUUGAAACACGGACCAAGGAGUCUAACAUCUAUGCGAGUGUUUGGGUGUCAAACCCAUACGCGUAAUGAAAGUGAACGGAGGUGGGAACCCGCAAGGGUGCACCAUCGGCCGAUCCUGAUGUCUUCGGAUGGAUUUGAGCAAGAGCAUAGCUGUUGGGACCCGAAAGAUGGUGAACUAUGCCUGAAUAGGGUGAAGCCAGAGGAAACUCUGGUGGAGGCUCGCAGCGGUUCUGACGUGCAAAUCGAUCGUCAAAUUUGGGUAUAGGGGCGAAAGACUAAUCGAACCAUCCWAGUAGCUGGAUUCCCUGCCGAAGUUCUCCCCUCCGGGGUUACC